rnacentral:tRNA from 1 species
GCGGCCAUGGCGGAAUGGUAGACGCGUACGUUUGAGGGGCGUAUGAGGUAACUCGUGCUGGUUCAAGUCCAGUUGGCCGCACCA